rnacentral:rRNA from 1 species
GAUGAACGCUGGCUACAGGCUUAACACAUGCAAGUCGAGGGGCAGCAUGGCGGAUGCUUGCAUCUGCCGAUGGCGACCGGCGCACGGGUGAGUAACGCGUAUCCAACCUACCUUCAAGCAGGGGACAAUCCGUAGAAAUGCGGUCUGAUACCCUAUGUAUUCCAACGAGGUCCUCCGUGUUGGAAGAAAGGUUUAUCCGCUUGUUGAUGGGGAUGCGUCCGAUUAGCUUGUUGGCGGGGCAACGGCCCACCAAGGCAACGAUCGGUAGGGGUUCUGAGAGGAAGGUCCCCCACACUGGAACUGAGACACGGUCCAGACUCCUACGGGAGGCAGCAGUGAGGAAUAUUGGUCAAUGGGCGUAAGCCUGAACCAGCCAAGUAGCGUGCAGGAUGACGGCCCUAUGGGUUGUAAACUGCUUUUAUACGGGGAUAAAGUGCGCCACGUGUGGUGUUUUGCAGGUACCGUAUGAAUAAGGACCGGCUAAUUCCGUGCCAGCAGCCGCGGUAAUACGGAAGGUCCGGGCGUUAUCCGGAUUUAUUGGGUUUAAAGGGAGCGUAGGCCGCAUGUCAAGCGUGUUGUGAAAUGCAGGUGCUCAACACCUGGAUUGCAGCGCGAACUGUCGUGCUUGAGUGUGCGCAACGUUGGCGGAAUUCGUCGUGUAGCGGUGAAAUGCUUAGAUAUGACGAGGAACCCCGAUUGCGAAGGCAGCUGACGGGAGCAUAACUGACGCUGAAGCUCGAAGGUGCGGGUAUCGAACAGG